UUUCUCCAUAUCCAAUUUGCAAACCAAAAUUCAACUCCUGUCCUUUAUUUACCUUACAAGCAUCUCAUUGGAAAUAAAGAUUUAUCAAUGUUUUGCCUUCCCUCAACAAAGCAAUUAGAUAUGGCCCUACCGCUUGAUCAUAACCUUGUUCAAUAAUCUCAAAGCCAAAACAUUAAGUAACAAUUUAUAGAAGCCACUCAUUGGCGAGCAAAGAUGGCUCUACCACCAUGCAAGUUGUAUCGUCAAUUUUAUUAUCUGCCAUCACAUUGGAAUUCAAAGAUGUAUAAGGGGAAUACACAAUCAUUUAGAUACAGCCUUCCCACCUUACUCAUCACCUUGGGUUUAGA
rnacentral:misc_RNA from 1 species